UGGGCGUAAGAGCUCGUAGGCGGCUUGUCACGUCGGGUGUGAAAGCCCGGGGCUUAACCCCGGGUCUGCAUCCGAUACGGGCAGGCUAGAGUGUGGUAGGGGAGAUCGGAAUUCCUGGUGUAGCGGUGAAAUGCGCAGAUAUCAGGAGGAACACCGGUGGCGAAGGCGGAUCUCUGGGCCAUUACUGACGCUGAGGAGCGAAAGCGUGGGGAGCGAACAGGAUUAGAUACCCUGGUAGUCCACGCCGUAAACGUUGGGAACUAGGUGUUGGCGACAUUCCACGUCGUCGGUGCCGCAGCUAACGCAUUAAGUUCCCCGCCUGGGGAGUACGGCCGCAAGGCUAAAACUCAAAGGAAUUGACGGGGGCCCGCACAAGCAGCGGAGCAUGUGGCUUAAUUCGACGCAACGCGAAGAACCUUACCAAGGCUUUUUUUGGUGCGGAAAAAAUCAUAGAUGGUGCCCCCCUUGUGGUCGGUAUACAGGUG
rnacentral:rRNA from 1 species